UAAUUGAUUGUGUGACUUUGGUGAGAGAGAUCUGAUGAUCUCUCCCCAUUCAUUUUUUGGUAGUAUUUAUUUGUUAAUUUAAUAAAAGUUAACAGAGUUGAGUUAAGGUUAAGGGGUUGUACACAUGUCAAUAAAUGAGAGGAGACACAUGUAGGAGACAUCAAAUUUGGAGACAGCAAACCCUUGACCAUGGGGUGGGUUUAACAAAUUACCUCCCACCUGAUCAUGCCAUAUAUGACCGUUGGGGAUUCGAAUUUUAAAAACCAUAUCUGUCCCCACACAGCAUAGUUGUGAACGCUUCAAAGACCAUGUCAACGAAACAAAGCCUUUCUCCUAAACCCCGAAACGCUCAAGCAGCCAUGAAAUCCGCCCUCUCAUCGUCGCCGUCGACGACAACAACGACAUCAUCCUCAGUGAAAUCGAGCACCACCACCGCCAUGGAUGACGACAGAUCUGAAAACCGCGACAGCUGCUACUACCCAGGAUGCCGAAAAGAUGCCAACUGCAACUGCGAAAUGUGCUUGGCCAGUAUCAAUGCCACUCUCGAUCUCAUGCCUUUCAGCAUCCAGAAAACCUCGCUCACCAAGUUCUCAUCUUCAAGGCCCAAGAACAACCCGAGUGUCAAACGCACUCCCAUCUCUUUCGAAGCUUCGAUUUUGUCCACACCCACUUCAGGCUCUCCUCCGAUUCCUAUGUCUCCGGAGCUUAAACCGGCUGCAAGAUUGAAAUCGAAGGAGAAGGUUAAGAAUAGGGAGAGAAAAAGGGGUUUUGGGUGUGAAAUUUGGAGAUUGAUUUUGGGUUUAAGCUUGGUUUAUGUGGGGUUUUCUAAUAUGGUUUCAGGGGCUUUAAAACCUAUUCUCUUGCCGGAGAUUGUGAGAAAUGUUGGUGAAAAGUCUUGGGUUCUGGAUGAUUUGAAUGGCAGGCUGGGUUCUUGCAGAAAGAGAUGCAGGGUCUUGUUCCGGGCAGAGUUUCGAAUUGCAGCUGUCCUAAUUCUAUUUGGGAUAUUAGUCAGACUGGUUAUAUGAUGACAUGUUAGGAUGGUUUGCUUCUGAGCUCACAUUGCACGUUGUACAAAUCUGCAAUCGAGGAGGUGAGAAUAUGGGGAUGGCCUUUGCAGACAGCCGGGUUGCUCACGAGUGGGUUUUCUUCCCGGUCUUUCACAAUCUUAUCCGGCAGAGUCACAGAGUGGUCGGAUGGAAAGGUUGGCGGCUAUGUGAUUCGGGCGCCAAACACUUCCUGGGUGCAGAGAAGUUGGGGUGCCUCAGCUGUGCGGCUAGAUCCGAAUACAUGGAUUCUUGAGUAUUGGUGGAGCACGACAUUUGAUAACCAAAGAUUGGUUUCAGCAGCACUAGCCUUCUUUAAGAAUAUGAUCUCCAGAAAGCUUGGAAAGAUGCAGCAGAAGUUUUGGAUCUUAUCUACUUUUGGCAACAACCAGCAAGUUGAAAGUUCUGCAAACUACAACAUCAAAAUCCCAACCUAAGGAGACUAAGGGGACAUCAUCGGAGGUGCACUGUCUUCUCUCAGCAGAUAUCCGGAUCUCAUGUCUUGUGAGAAGAUUCGAAAAAAUGUCCCUUCAUUAUGUGGUGUUGCGUAACCUGUUGAGCUUAAUCGUUAAUUUGAUCUCGAGCUGUAUAUAUGUACUAAUCAGGGAAAUUGUUGUUUUCCUGAUUUUGAUUAACUAGCAACAACAAACUAGGUUCUGCUUGGCUAUAGGAAUCCAUAUAGAUAGCAUCUCAAACUGUUCUAAAUGAAAAGCUUCUUUCGUGUUUCGGCAAACAAAAUCUCUUUUUCAA